UCGAAAAAUGAUCCUCUGACCUUCAGUAAUGAACCUGGACCCUCAGAGUCAAAGAAGAGGAAGACGAGUGAUGUUUCUGUGGAGGAGCAGCUGUCCUGCUGUGCUUUGUGUCAGAAUGUCCUGAAGGAUCCAGUCUUUACCAGCUGUGGACACAGGUUCUGCAGACAGUGCAUCACCUCAUACUGGGACCAGUCUGCUUCAGCAGGAGACUACUCCUGUCCCCAUUGUGGAAAAAGAUCCAGAACAAGAGCUGGACUGCAGACAGCCGGUCAGACCAGCACUGUACAAACAGAUAGUGUUCUGCAGGAGGUUAUAGAUGAACAUAAGAUCAGUCUGAGGAGGAGAU